ACGCUGGCGGCACGCCUAACACAUGCAAGUCGAACGAAGUAGCAAUACUUAGUGGCAGACGGGUGAGUAACAUGUAGGUAUCUGCCCUUUGGCCUGGAAUAACACGAGGAAACUUGUGCUAAUACCGGAUAAGUCUUUACGGAGAAAGCUUUAUGCACCAUUGGAUGAGCCUGCACUUGAUUAGUUUGUUGGUGGGGUAAUGGCCUACCAAGACUGUGAUCAAUAGCUGAUUUGAGAGGAUGAUCAGCCACAUUGGGACUGAGACACGGCCCAAACUCCUACGGGAGGCAGCAGUGGGGAAUCUUGCACAAUGGAGGAAACUCUGAUGCAGCGAUGCCGCGUGAGUGAAGAAGGCCUUUGGGUUGUAAAGCUCUUUCGUCGGGGAAGAAAAUGACUGUACCCGAAUAAGAAGGUCCGGCUAACUUCGUGCCAGCAGCCGCGGUAAUACGAAGGGACCUAGCGUAGUUCGGAAUUACUGGGCUUAAAGAGUUCGUAGGUGGUUGAAAAAGUUAGUGGUGAAAUCCCAGAGCUUAACUCUGGAACUGCCAUUAAAACUUUUCAGCUAGAGUAUGAUAGAGGAAAGCAGAAUUUCUAGUGUAGAGGUGAAAUUCGUAGAUAUUAGAAAGAAUACCAAUUGCGAAGGGCAGCUUUCUGGAUCAUUACUGACACUGAGGAACGAAAGCAUGGGUAGCGAAGAGGAUUAGAUACCCUCGUAGUCCAUGCCGUAAACGAUGUGUGUUAGACGUUGGAAAUUUAUUUUCAGUGUCGCAGCGAAAGCGAUAAACACACCGCCUGGGGAGUACGACCGCAAGGUUAAAACUCAAAUGAAUUGACGGGGACCCGCACAAGUAGUGGAGCAUGUGGUUUAAUUCGAAGAUACGCGCAGAACCUUACCAACACUUGACAUGUUCGUCGCGACUCUAAGAGAUUAGAGUUUUCGGUUCGGCCGGACGAAACACAGGUGCUGCAUGGCUGUCGUCAGCUCGUGUCGUGAGAUGUUGGGUUAAGUCCCGCAACGAGCGCAACCCUCACUUUUAGUUGCCAUCAUUAAGUUGGGCACUCUGAAAGAACUGCCAGUGAUAAGCUGGAGGAAGGUGGGGAUGACGUCAAGUCCUCAUGGCCCUUACGUGUUGGGCUACACACGUGCUACAAUGGUAUCUACAACAGGAAGCAAGACUGCGAAGUUAAGCAAAUCCCUAAAAGAUACCUCAGUUCGGAUUGCACUCUGCAACUCGAGUGCAUGAAGCUGGAAUUACUAGUAAUCGUGGAUCAGCGUGCCACGGUGAAUGCGUUCCCGGGUCUUGUACUCACCGCC
rnacentral:rRNA from 1 species